rnacentral:rRNA from 1 species
UUGCCAAGAAUGUUCCCGUUAAUCAAGAACGAAAGUUAGAGGUUCGAAGGCGAUCAGAUACCGCCCUAGUUCUAACCAUAAACGAUGCCAGCCAGCGAUCCGCCGAAGUUCCUCCGAUGACUCGGCGGGCAGCUUCCGGGAAACCAAAGCUUUUGGGUUCCGGGGGAAGUAUGGUUGCAAAGCUGAAACUUAAAGGAAUUGACGGAAGGGCACCACCAGGAGUGGAGCCUGCGGCUUAAUUUGACUCAACACGGGAAACCUCACCAGGCCCGGACACCGGAAGGAUUGACAGAUUGAGAGCUCUUUCUUGAUUCGGUGGGUGGUGGUGCAUGGCCGUUCUUAGUUGGUGGAGCGAUUUGUCUGGUUAAUUCCGGUAACGAACGAGACUCUAGCCUGCUAAAUAGACGAUUUCCGGUAUCCACAAUAGUGCUACCGGCGAAAUCAAUAUCUUCUUAGAGGGACAGGCGGCUUUCAGCCGCACGAAACUGAGCAAUAACAGGUCUGUGAUGCCCUUAGAUGUCCUGGGCCGCACGCGCGCUACACUGAAGGAAUCAGCGUGUACACCCUGGCCGAAAGGCUCGGGCAACCCGUUGAACCUCCUUCGUGCUAGGGAUUGGGGCUUGCAAUUGUUCCCCAUGAACGAGGAAUUCCCAGUAAGCGCGAGUCAUAAGCUCGCGUUGAUUACGUCCCUGCCCUUUGUACACACCGCCCGUCGCUACUACCGAUUGAAUGAUUUAGUGAGGUCUUCGGACUGGUGCGCGGCGGCCGCCUGCGCGGCCGCCGAUGCCACCGGGAAGAUGA